rnacentral:rRNA from 1 species
AUUGAACGCUGGCGGCAUGCCUUACACAUGCAAGUCGAACGGCAGCACGGGUGCUUGCACCUGGUGGCGAGUGGCGAACGGGUGAGUAAUACAUCGGAACAUGUCCUGUAGUGGGGGAUAGCCCGGCGAAAGCCGGAUUAAUACCGCAUACGUUCCACGGAUGAAAGCGGGGGACCUUCGGGCCUCGCGCUAUAGGGUUGGCCGAUGGCUGAUUAGCUAGUUGGUGGGGUAAAGGCCUACCAAGGCGACGAUCAGUAGCUGGUCUGAGAGGACGACCAGCCACACUGGGACUGAGACACGGCCCAGACUCCUACGGGAGGCAGCAGUGGGGAAUUUUGGACAAUGGGCGAAAGCCUGAUCCAGCAAUGCCGCGUGUGUGAAGAAGGCCUUCGGGUUGUAAAGCACUUUUGUCCGGAAAGAAAUCCUUGGCUCUAAUACAGUCGGGGGAUGACGGUACCGGAAGAAUAAGCACCGGCUAACUACGUG